rnacentral:tRNA from 1 species
CAAAAAAUAGUUUAAAUAAAACAUUAAUUUUGGAGAUUAAAAAUAUAAAUUAAUUUAUUUUUUUGA